UACGUAGGGUGCGAGCGUUGUCCGGAAUUACUGGGCGUAAAGCGUGCGCAGGCGGUUUUGUAAGUCUGACGUGAAAUCCCCGGGCUCAACCUGGGAAUUGCGUUGGAGACUGCAAGGCUAGAAUCUGGCAGAGGGGGGUAGAAUUCCACGUGUAGCAGUGAAAUGCGUAGAUAUGUGGAGGAACACCGAUGGCGAAGGCAGCCCCCUGGGUCAAGAUUGACGCUCAUGCACGAAAGCGUGGGGAGCAAACAGG
rnacentral:rRNA from 1 species